AGUUGCCGGGGAGGAGGGCCAGCCGCCGGCAAGGGGGCGCCGAGCUGCUGGUGCGGGCGGGAGUCGGGGCUGCUCCUCCGCGCGGGCCCGCCGGCCCCUCCCCACAAGCCAGCCCCACAGCUGCCGCCCGGGUAGCUUCCCGCAGACGCCGUAGGUAGCACGCGAUGGAACGCGGCGGAGGGGAGCGUGGACACGGCUGCCGGGCGCUGCGGCCAUCGGCGCCCUGGACGCCCGCUCCGGCCUUCGGGGCCGGAUAUCCCCACUCUCGCGGGCUCUUUCGCGUGGACCCCUCCUCCGGCCGACACUCACACUGCGGUGAACGCCAGUCAGCUGGCGUGAAAUAAGGUCGCUGGGAAGGCACCAAGUCACCAAGGUGGGGGAUGGCCAGGUCGUGGUAGUUGCGACAAAGAAAAAUAUAAGUCACAUUGCAUUUGUUUCUCGCCCACCCACCGCUCCCGGCGUCUCUUCCCGGGCUCCUUGCCAGCGUGCCGAGGCGCAGGCAGGGUGAUGGAGGCUCCCCGGCCGGGAGGAUCUGCCGGGGAGAGCGGCUUCCCUCAUCGAUUCGGGAGCGCCAGGCCCGGCGCGCCCGGGCUCCUGUGACCUGCGAGCCCGCGAAUUCCAGCGGCAUAAGAUAAGGAGCGGCGAGGGCCCAACAGGACUGAGGUCAGCCAGCUAUAAAUACGCCUCCAGCUCCACCGCGGGCUCACGCUGGUGACCUCGUGUACCCUCCGGAGGCUCAUUCCGUCCAUUUGGAAAAUGCAAAUAAUUGUCACCACCUCUUUUCUUCCAUUUCCCCUCAUUCAUGGUGGAAAAUGCUUUUAAAAGUAUUCGAUGACCCGUAUGUGAGGAAAGAGGAGAUAGGCCCCUUUUUCACCAAAUGUGACUUUAACCUCCUUAGUAAUCCAAGAAAUGUAUCAAGUUUAAGUCACUUAACAAAAGAUGUUCUUUUAAAGGUGCAUUUUAAAAAAUCACUUUUAAAACUGGGUAAACUGGGUAAAAAGAAAGGGGGAAGGAAAACAAUGUGCCAGGCAUUUGUAUUGACACACAUUCUUGCCUGAAGAGGUGUUUAGAUUCCAGGGUAUUCCCUUAUAUUCUGGUAUAAAUGUUUGAAUUCCCGUGUAUUUUGUUUCAAUUUUUUGGUUUAUCUUUUAUUCUGUCUCCCUUUUCUUCUUUUACCCGCCUUUGCCCUUAAUGCUGCAGAUAGCCUCUGUCAUUCUGAAUUAUUUUUCAAUUCUGUUUUCUUCCCUAAUCUUUUUUUCUGGGCUCUUCAGCUGUCUCAGGUUUGACAGUCAUGGGUUGUAGUAUCUUGCUAUGCAGGAAGAAGAGGAUACGUGAGAUUACUUGCAUCAACUAAAAUUGGUCACUUUUCUUUCUCAAGUUUCCUUCAUAAUACCCAGUUUUAGUUUUUUUGUUUUUUGGGGUUUUUUUGUUCUUUUUUUUUUGAGACGGAGUCUCGCUCUGUCGCCCAGGCUGAAGUGCAGUGGCGCCAUCUCGGCUCACUGCAAGCUCCGCCUCCUGGGUUCACGCCAUUCUCCUGCCUCAGCCUCCUGAGCAGCUGGGACUACAGGCGCCCGCCACCACGCCCGGCUAACUUUUUGUAUUUUUAGUACAGACGGGGUGUCACCGUGUUAAUAGGUGUUCUCGAUCUCCUGACCUCGUGAUCCUCCCGCCUCGGCCUCCCAAAGUGCUGGGAUUACAAGCGUGAGCCACUGCGCCCAGCCCCAGCUUUAGUUCUAAAGGAAAAGAUGGGCCUUUUGCUUAAGGAGAUUCACAUUGAUUGGUCAAAGCUCUCAUUGACGUAUGCUGAGCAAUGUGUCGGCAGAGAAAACCAUGGCAAGCGUGUUAUUAUGCUCUUUAUAGUCUAGUUGGAUUUUUAGACAUAUGAAUUGGUCUAUAAAAUAGACAACAAUCUCAGGUGGGAACCUUAGUACAUCAAGUUUCUGAAAUGUACAAAUGAGUAUUCCCUGGCUUGUGUUAUCUGCCACUGUAGAAAUGAGAGCAAAAUUGAAGCAUCAAAUUUUAAGUCGUGAUAUGUUUGCUUCUCUGCAAAAGACUCUCCUUUUCAAAUCUUCAGGAAUUUUUCGCUCUCCUUUGAUAAGGCCCAGCUAGUACCCAGGCUUCAAUCCUCAGCGCCCUGGCUACCAGCAGCUAGUGGGGCAUGCUGUUCUCCCUGGCUACUGGCAUGUUUAUGCAUGCCAGCCCGUUUCUCCGGUCUGUCUGCCCAGGGAGACAUCUGGACACGUGUGUUCUGGCCCCCAAACUCAAAAGCAACAUCUCGGGAUCCACAGUUAACAUUCCGUAAUGUGUUGGUAUUCCUUUAAGUGGGUUACUAGAAUAGGCUGGAAAUGGUCUUUUCUUCUGUCCAGGUAGGUCACAAGAGAGGUAGUUGUUACAUGCCCAAAGCAGCAUUCAUUAAUUACAUCGUGCAUUUAGUUAUUUGUUUGUGGUCUGAGCCCCUCUGCUCCACUAGAAUAUAAACUCCAUGAGCAAAAGACUUUGUCAGUCUCUCUUUUUUUAGAGACAGGUUCUCACUUUGUCACCCAGGCUGGAGUGCAGCGGCAUAGUCAUAGUUCACUGUAACCUGGAACUCCUGGGCUCACGUGAUCCUCCCCCCUCAGCCGCCCAAGUAGCUGGGACUACAGGCCAGCUUGACUUUGUCAAUCUAUUCUCAACUCUCUCCUCAGAGCCUAGUGCCUGGCAAGUGAAUAUUUGUUAAAUGAGAGAAGAGAAAUAAGCAUACAUAUCCUCUAGGCAUUUCUAAACCUUGUCACCAAGACCCUUUUAGUGUUAGAGGGUGGCAUGGCUAUCUUGGAAAGAGUGAAGGUUGGCUGGGAAAGCUGUGGAUCACAUCCUCUUCAGUGAAAUGGGACUUCUGCCUUCAGGGAUCCAAGGUGAAUAGAUUAAUCCAAGCUAAUCCAUUCAAAGUCAUUUUCAUGUUGUAAAGAUCUUAUAAGGCAAAAGGCAGCACGAAGUCUCUGGGUCUGAUGAUAAGUUAGAGGCCAGUAAGGAGGCACGAGUGAAGGAAUGCCAUUGGUAGGGUGACCCUUUAGGUUGGCUUCAAACCCAAUAUUAAAUGGGUAGGUGUUAGGGAGAAUAAACAGCUUCAUUUUUCAGCAUGGACACUACUACAUCUUUUUUUUUUUUUUUUUUUUUUUUGGUUAGUAGUACCCCAUCAUGGCUUAGAAGGACUAAACUGAAACAGAAACUGUGGUUAAGAAUAAGAUGGAUGUAUAUAAUUCAGUGCACAAAAUAGAGGAAGUUUAAAAACCUGAAUUCAUUUUCAUUGUGGUGGUACAGUGUUUUACUUCUUUUGUUUACUUCUAAACAACUUGCUCCUUCUCCCUUAGCUCCAUUUUAAUUUAUCUUUGCCUCAAAGCACUGGCUACUAUGAUUGAAAGAUAGAUGAUGGAGGAUAUUGCUGCUCUCACUUGGUCCUACCUAGUCCGUGGCCUCUGUAUUCCUCCUUUCCCUACUAUCCGUACACCCUUUACCAUAGAACCUGAUCUUUCCUAGGCCUUGAGGCAGGAAGAAUUAUCAGAGCUUUGGUCCCAAGCUCAAGACUCAGCCUCCCACUGCCUCGCCCCUUUCUAAGAACUGACAGCCCUUCUCUUGUGUCUGAAACCCUGACCUGUUAGCUUGCCAGGACCUGGAAUUUCUCUGCUUGUUGUUUGGACUUAGCUGCAUCCCUGCACCCAGACUGCUGGGCAGUUGUAGGUAUUGUUGGUGGCAUCACUUAAUUGCCUCCAGCUCUUUGUUUCUAGGCUCCCUGUAUCUGUAUUCUAUCUAUCUGUUGGGCCUCCCUUCCCCCAUUACCUCAGGCUGGAUGUCCCCAUCCCCACUGCGCUCCUGGACUACCACCUGUUGUUUGCUCACUACUCUCUGGCUAUCAGGCACUGCCUAGAGGACUAUGGUUCCUCCCACCGAGCACCGGGAGCUGGGGCCUCCCUACCCCAACUCCCACGCAGCCCACAGUAGAUCUUGGCCUUCCCUGUCCUGCUGCAGCUCACUGCCCUGCUUUUCCCUAUCCUCACAGCACCUGGUUUAUUGCACUUGGAUUAUUUUUUAACCAGAUGAAAACUAUAUAUAAUAUAUAUGCUCUGGACAUACACUAAGUACAUAUUAAAGGUGUAUUAUAUGUAAUUUUGGCUGGGCGUGGUGGCUUAUGCUAGUAAUCCCAAGCACUUUGGGAGGCCAAGGUGGGUGGAUCAUUUGAGGUCAGGAGUUCAAGACCAGCCUGGCCAACAUGGUGAAACCCUGUGUCUACUAAAAAUACAAAAAUUAGCUGGAUGUGGCAGCAGGCACCUGUAGUCCCAGCUACUUGGGAGGCUGAGGCAGGAGAAUCGCUUGUCGCAGUGAGCCCAGAUCUCGCCAUUGCACUCCAGCCCGGGCAACAGAGCGACACUCUGUUUCAAAAAAAAAAAAGCUAUAUAUAUAUUUUUUUCUGGCUAAAAAUUAAUCCAAGUGUAAUAGGGGUGUGUGUGUAUAUAAUCUAUUGAAUAUAAUUCAAAUAGAUUUCUAGUCUGAACUUUGUGUGUGUGUGUAGGUGUUUGUGUACAUAUGUAAGUAUAUGCAUAUAUGUAUAUAUGUACACACAAAUAUGCAUAUGUGUGCACACAUAUGUGCGCAUAUGCGUAUGUGUGCACACAUAUGUGCGCAUAUGCGUAUGUGUGCACACAUAUGUGCGCAUAUGCGUAUGUGCGCACACGUGCGCAUGUGUAUGCGUGCAUAUGUGUGCAUAUGUAAGUAUGCAUGUACACAUAUGUACAUAUAUGUACGUAUGCAUGUACAUAUGUUUGUGUGUAUACACACAAAAAACCCAUACAUACAUUCAAAAAUGAAAAGACCCAUGUCUGAUUCUUCUUAGUAUCCCUAAACACUGAUUCUACUCAAGAAUUCCUUUGGAGCUAGUAGUCCAGAAAUCCAGCAUGUGGAGCUGAAUAUGAUUACCUUGGGAAUGACUAGUAAAAGGAAGGCAAGGUGCGAUGAUAAAAGAUUCAAGCUGAGAUAACUGGGGAGAUAAAAUCUGGAUCAGGAGUGCAGAUUCAUGAACACCAUACUGUGCCUACUGUCCAUGGCUUACAUGGUAAUUGGGAUGUAUUCCUAGAUGUGGUGUGGUGUCACCAGUGUGACCAGGCAUACUAGUUUACCCAUCGGAUAUGUUGAAAGUACCUGACCCUGUGCUGGACUCAAAAGUUCAGAGAAUGGGAACUGUCUCAUUCUCACUCCAUUGUAUCCAGUGUGCUGCUUGGCACACCAGUAGGUAGUCAGUAAGUAUUUAUUAAAUGAAUGACAUACUUAAUUUUGUUCUCUACUGGUAGUUUGCCCUGGCGCAUUUCUUUUUAUUUCUAUUAGCCAAGGCAGGGUUAGGUGUUUUGUUUUGUUUUGUUUUUCCAUAUUUUUGAGGAUUAAUGAUAAAGCACUUAUCUUGUUGGAAUGAGAGUCUACUAACAAAUCCUGUACAUCAUAAUAACAGAACUAUCAUCUAACAACUUGUUCUCAAUAAAUAAACUUUAAAACAACUUCCUUUAUUAUUUCAAAGGCAUACAUAGUCAUAUAUAUAACCAGUAACCAAUACUUGUCAGUGUUUAUUUUAAAAUGCAGAUUAGUUUCCAUUUAGUUUGCUACCUACCUUAAAGCCCCUCUUCCUCCGAUCCUGAAUGCUGCUAGCUCUCCUCCUAAUUGGUCAUUCCCUCUUUCAACUAAUGUUGCCCAGUUGUUUAGAUUUCUAUUGUGAAACACCAGUCCCAUUAAAUCUGAAAACACUGCUAUAGAGUAACAUUUCGUUAGACUGGUCUCACUACUUUCUGAAGAAUGGACCAUAUUCAUUCUCCAUUUAAUGCCAUUCUCCUCCCUAUACUGCCUGAGUACCACCUCUUCCAAGAAGUCAUCUUUGACUACUCCAUCCUCAUCUCCUUAGGCUUUUCUCUCAAUGGUCUACAUCACUGACUUUCCACAUAGCUUAGCUGUUCUUAUGUCUUUCUCACAAAUAAGUUUUCAUACCUUUGUUCUUCAACAUAAAUAGGGGCCUCUCAGCCUGAGGGAGACAGUUUAGGGAGUACCAAAAUACACGUAGUAUCAAAAAAGCAGUCCCAGGCCACUGGAGCUUACCAGUUAUUGAAUCCUUGCUUCUGCGAAUCCAUUGUUUUGAAGGUUGGUGGGUAGUUGCAAACUCCUUGAUGCAUCUGCACGUGAUCCUGUCGAACACCAGAAAAUUCUACUCCAGUGGCAAUGGGGAGGCUGGUCCCUGGCUUGCUUAAAGAACCCGCUUUUUUAUUGUGUAACAUUAUAUACCUUUCAGGACAUUUGACAAGAUAUAUUUAAGCAUUUGUUAAUUUUGUAUUAUUAAAUAUGUGUGUUUAUAAAGAAAUAGAUUAUCCUGAAAUAAAGAGAAAACGUUGGCAGUGUUCUGUGGUGGCCUAAUGGAUGGUUAUUAUUUUCUUCCAUAAGCUUUAUCUCCCCCACAAUGGACAAUGUUAUACGUUACUUUUUUUUUUUUUUUUUUUUUUUUGAGAGUCUGCUCUGUCGCCCAGGCUGGAGUGCAAUGAUAUGAUCUUGGCUCACUGCAACCUCUGCCUCCCGAGUUCAAGUGAUUCUCCUGCCUCAGCCUCCUGAGUAGCUGGGACUACAGGUGUGCGCCACCACACCCAGCUAAUUUUUGUAUUUUUAGUAGAGACGGGGUUUCACCAUGUUGGCCAGGCUGAUCUUGAACUCCUGACCUCAUGAUCCGCCCGCCUUGGCCUCUCAAAGUGCUGAGAUUACAGGCGUGAGCCACUGUACCCGGCCCAAUGUUACUUUUAUAAUCAGAAAAGUAGAUAUUUUCGACUGUGGGUUUCAGCACCAAAAAAAAAAAAGAGUAGAUAUUAUUUAAAAGAACUGGUUGAUUGAUAGAGAGAAAAAUGAAAGUGGCAAAUUGUAUAUUUGUCAGAAUGAAGUCAGUUAGAAUCCCAUAUAAGAUAUGUAAUUAAAGUUUUUAUUUAUUUGAUUGACGUGAAUAUUUUUCUUGGUAAAAAGAGUUAUUCUAGGCCAGGCACAGUGGCUCACCCCUGUAAUCCUAGCACUUUGGGAGGCCAAGGCAGGCAGAUCGCUUGAGUCCAGGAGUUCCAGACCAGCCGGGGCAACAUGGCAAAACCCCAUCUCUAUAAAAAUUACAAAAAUUAGCCAGGCAUGGUAGCACUUGCCUGUCAUCCCAGCUACUCGGGAGGCUGAGGCAAGAGGACCCCUUAAGCCCAGAAGGCAGAGGUUGCAGUGAGCUGUGAUCAUGCCACUGCACUCCAACCUGGGCAACAGAGGGAGACCAUGUCUCAGAAAAAAUAAAUAAAGAGUUGUUCUGUUGUUACACUUGCAAUAACACAUCAUACUCAUGAGAUUUUAACUAUGUAUACCAUAUGUCAUCAAAACUAGGGUACUGUUUCGUUGUGGGUUUUUUCCACCCAAAGAACAGCAUGGAUACUGUUGAUUAUAAGAUCCAUCAUUAUUUUAUGUACAACUAAGGAAGAAAAACCUUGCCAGUUAAACCCUGACACGUUAAUUAAGAUAUCGCAAUUCCAGAAAGUUUCAAAUGUCAAAAAAAAUGUGCAUCUGAGAAUUAAUGAAAUAUGGUGUAUUUUAAUGCAUCUAGAAGGUGAAGCAAUGCCAUACAGGCCAGCAUUUGAAAUGUUAAAUUUCUGAGUUUUUGAUGUAUAAUCUUGUUAUGCCUGAUUCCUGAAUAGCCACACUGUGGAUGAUACCACAAAAGCAGAGGCAGUGCAGUUCAACUGCAUGUAAACAUGUAAAACAAACAAAAGUGAAUAACAUGAUUCAGUCACAUAACGUUUGGAAAAAAUACCAGCAUCAAGUCACGUGCUGGAUUAUAUUACAAAUCAAAAAUUAACUUUUUUUUUUUUUUUGAGAUGGAGUUUCACUCUUGUUGCCCAGGCUGGAGUGCAAUAGCACAAUAAAAAUUAACUUUUUGACAGUUGCUUAUACUGAAAAUGUGUGAUGACAAGACGAAUCAAAUUUUAGAUGUUAACACAUAAGUUAUCUUUGGAGAAGUCAAACUAAACAUUCAGAAAAAUCUCAGCAGUGCAAUAGAAUGACUUUACAUCUGUCCCGGAAACUGAACAAUAGUGCUUGUUGCUUAUGAGGCCAUCAGGAAAAGCCAGCUGUGGAUUUCUUUCUAGUACAAUUAAUUGCUUCCGCUGUAUAUAAAAUUGAAAGAAUUGGGUGCUUUAGUGCGGAAAAAGGAUAUCCUGCUACACUGCUCCUAUUUCCUCACAAAGGCUAUUACUGAGCCUUUCACCAUUAAUUCGCAUGCAUUGGAUUAUCCUGUGAUGAAAGGCCAAAAGGCUUUUCAUUUUUAUAGUCUCUUAUCCUAUUUAUUUGGCACCUCUCUGGAGAUACCUGCUCUUCUCCCAAGACCAGCUAAUUGCUAGGAUGUCAGAAGGUGGCUAAUGACUGACUUCCUUUUCAGAGACUGUGAGCCCAUCUCUUUGCUGCUUCUUGGGGUGGCUUUUCUUAUUGCUGAGAAAUAUUCUGCGUUCUGUCAUUAUUUGAGGUAAAAAAUGCUAUCUUUUUUUUUUUUUUUUUUUUUUUUUUUUUUUUUUUUUUUUAAAGACAGAGUCUUGCUGUCUGUCACCCAGGCUGGAGUGCAGUGGUGUGAUCACAGCUCACUGCAGCCUCAACCUCCUGGGCUCAAGCAAUCCUCCCACCUCAGUCUCCCAGGUAGCUGGGACUACAGGUGCAUACUGCCACAUUCAGCUGAUUUUUUUGUAUUUUUGUAGAGACAGGGCCUCCCUGUAUUGCCCAGUCUGAUCUCGAAUCCUGGGUUUAAGUGAUCCUCCCACCUCAGCCUCCCAAAAUGCUGGGAUUACAGGCGUGAGCCACCGUGCUAGGCUCAAGACUUUGUUCUUAAGGCUGAGCUGAGCAGGUCAGAAUCUACACCAGCACUGUCUAAUAGAACUUUCAGUGAAAAUGAAAAUGUCCUGUAUCUUCCCUGUUCCAACACAGUAGCCCCUAAUCUCAUGUGGUUAUUGAGCAUUUGAUAUGGCUAAACAGAGAAACUGAAUUUUGAUUUUUAUUUAUUUUUAACUAAUUUAGAAUUUACACAGUCACACAUGCCAAGCAGCUAUUGUAUGUACUAGCCAGUGCAGGUCUACAUGAAGGAUAUAUAAAAAAAUCACUUGAUGGUCUCAGUGCACACAAUGGGCAGGGAUUGAGGGGUUGGCAUUGAAAAUGCAGCAUCUCAGCUAAGUGCAGUGGCUCACGCCUGUAAUCCCAACGCUUUGGGAGGCCAAGGUGGGCAGAUCACCUGAGGUCAGGAGUUCAAGACCAACCUGGCCGACAUGGUGAAACCCCGUCUCUACUAAAAAUAUAAAAAUUGGCUGGGCAUGGUGACGCACGCCUGUAAUCCCAGCUACUUGAGAGGCUGAGGCAAGAGAAUCUCUUGAACCCAGGAGGCAGAGGUUGCAGUGAGCCAAGAUCGCGCCACUGCACUCCAGCCUGGGCAACAGAGUGAGAUUCUGUCUCAAAAAAAAAAAAAGGAACAAAGAAAAUGAAGCAUCUAAACAACCAAAAGAGUAGAAUUGGAUUGUUUGUAACACAAAGGAUAAAUGCUUGUGGGGUGGAUAUCCCAGCUUCCGUGAUGUGAUUAUUAUAACUGCAUGCCUGUAUCAAAAUAUGUACCCCAUUUAAAAUAUAUAUAUAUAUAUAUCCACAAAAAUUAAAACUAAAAAAAAUGCCACCUUAAAAAAGAAAAUGGGCUGGGCAUGGUGGCUCACACCUGUAAUCCCAGCAUUUUGGGAAGCUAAGGCAGGCGGAUUGCUUGAGCCAGGAGUUUGAGACCAGCCUAGGUGACAUAGGGAGACCCCUUCUUUACAAAAAAUACCAAAAAUUAGCUGGGCAUGGUGGCACACACCUGUAGUCCCAGCUAUUCAGGAGGCUAAGGAGGGAGGAUUGCUUGAGCCCAGGAGUUUGAGACAAGCCUGCGCAACAUAGGCGGACCCCUUCUCUACAAAAAAUACUAAAAAUUAGCCAGGCAUGGUGGCACACACCUGUAGUCCCAACUACUGAGGAGGCUGAGGUGGGAGGAUCGCUGGAGCCAGAGAGGUGGAGGCUGCAGUGAGCCAUGUUGGCACCACUGCACUCCAGUCUGGAUGAUGGAGUGAGAAAAAAAAAAAAGAAGAACAGGUUCUGAAACCAUUGGCUGAAUUGAUGCCUUUGUUCUCGCUGUUAAAAAUAAAUGGUAGAAAGCCCACACAUUCAGGGAUCUUUUCUGUAGUUUGCUACUAGAGAAGUUUCUCUAAACAUGCAGAGCACCAGAAAUCGGGGUUGCUAUUCAAUGGAUAUAAAGUUGCCGUUUAUAUUAAGUGUUCUUACUACGAUUUUUUUGUUUGUUUUUUGAGAUGGAGUCUCACUGUCACCCAGGCUGGAGUGCAGUGUCCCGACCUUGGCUCACUGCAACCUCUGUCUCCAGGGUUCAAGCGAUUCUCCUGCCUCAGCCUCCCGAGUAGCAAGGAUUAUAGGCACACACCACCACGCCCAGCUAAUUUUGUAUUUUUAGUAGAGAUGGGGUUUCGCCAUGUUGGCCAGGCUGGUCUCGACUCCUGAUCUCAGGUGAUCCACCUGUCUCAGCCUCCCAAAGUACUGAGAUUACAGACGUGAGCCACUGCAUCCGGCCGAUUCUUUUAAAAAAACAAAUUUUUUGUCUGGGCAUGGUGCCUCACGCCUGUAAUCCCAGCACUUUGGGAGGCCGAGGCAGGUGGAUCACGAGGUCAGGAGAUCGAGACCAUCCUGGCCAACAUGGUGCAACCCCCUCUCUACUAAAAAUAUAAAAAUUAGCUGGGCAUGGUGGCAUGCACCUGCAGUCCCAGCUACUCGGGAGGCAGGAGAAUUGCUUGAACCUGGGAGGCAGAGGUUGCAGUGAGCCAAGACUGCACCACUGCACUCCAGCCUGGGCGACAGAGCGAGACUCCCUCUCAAAAAAAAACAAAAACAAAAACAAAAAAAACAAUUUUUUUAAUGGUAGAAACUAGCCAAAAUGCUAAGUAGCGGUUGUCUCCCAGUAGUAGGACUAUGGUCACUUUUUUUUCUUCUUUCUGCCUAUGUGUGUUUUUCAUAUUUUAUUUAAUAAGCACAUAUUCCUUUCUUAAUUUGUCAACAUUAAAGAGAGCUAAACCCAUUCAUUUCUUUAUUACCCAAUUUCAAAUUAAAGUGGUUUCAACCAACUCUUUCUCUAAGAGAGAGGGUAGUCAUUUUGAAAUACUGUUUCUUCAAAAAUUACUUCAGGCAGCAAUUUUAGUUGAGAGAUCUGUAUUCCCUAUCCUAGCGUGAAUAGCAUCAGAGACCUGUGUUUGGGAUGCCCUAGAACCCUGCUGAGAAGAAUCAGAGAACAUCCUUCUGGAAGACAUGGCUGCAGACCUGGAGCCAUCCUCUCACUUAGGCAUUCCCUGGGUGUUGUGCCAGGAUCCAAGCAUUUCUGGACUACAUUCCGGAGUCUCAGAGUCAAGGCCCAACAGUUUAAGGAGGCUCGUGGACUGACAAGGGCUCUGGUUUUAACACUGAGAAGAGAACCAUAAAAAGAAGUCCUCAUUUCCUAAAAGUUCACACAUGAUCGUACAGGUUUAAUUGGGAACAGCGAGCUGUUUACAGCAAAGUAUAAACUGUAUAAAGCAGACCUCAGCGGACACUCCCAGAGGAUGUCCUGUGAACUCUCACUUCCCCAAGUCCAGAUUCAGCAGAGCUGGCUUGGUGAGGUAGGGCGCUGCAAUGCCAGCCAGAGGAGUAGCCCAGAAACCCCUUUCCAGAACUUUCUUUGACCAAAAGAGAUGGCCAAAGAGUUUUUUCUUCCUUGAAACUUGAGGCCAAUCCCACUAUUUUCUUAACUGCUUCUGCAUAUCCACUAAAGAGACUCUUGAGAAACAGGCUUAGCCACAUGAUGUGGUGGGAAGAACACGAACUUUGCAAUCAGAAUCCUGGCUGUACUUCCCAGUUUUUUACCUUGGGCAGAGUUUGUCAGCCUCUUAGACUCCCAGUUUCUUCAUCUAUAAAAUGGGAAUAAAUAAUACCAAUCUCAUGGGACAGAUGUCAGAAUUAACUGAGAUAUAUGCAAAGUGAUUGCCAUAGAGUCAGCACUCAAUGAAUUUUAGUUACUUUCUUUUUCCUUCUAGAAAGUGAUUGGUCCAUUAGUGUUUGUGUUGAAGGGGAGAGAAAACAAACUGUAAAACUCUAAAUGAGCCUUACUUCAAAUACAGCCCAAUGCAGUUCAGUAAUUAGUAUAUGAGUUCUGCUUCAGCUUGGGCUGGGCUCCAGUUCUUCAUUCCAGCCUUAGCUCUGGAAUUUCCUUCUCUAGAAAACCUUGGCGGCCCACUCCCAGGCCGGGUUAGCGGCCUGCUGAGCUGUCCUGUAGCACUUAUCUGGCCUUCGGCUUCUCAAACCGAGGCACCUAACACUGAAUGUGGAGUACAAAAGGUUAUAGAGCAGGCCGGGCGAGGUGGCUCACGCCUGUAAUCCCAGCACUUUGGGAGGCCAAGGCGGGCG
rnacentral:lncRNA from 1 species